rnacentral:rRNA from 1 species
UACGUAGGGUGCAAGCGUUGUCCGGAAUUAUUGGGCGUAAAGAGCUCGUAGGCGGUCUGUCGCGUCGGCUGUGAAAACCCGCGGCUCAACUCCGGAUCUGCGGUGGAUACGGGCAGGCUGGAGGCUGGUAGGGGCAAGCGGAAUUCCUGGUGUAGCGGUGAAAUGCGCAGAUAUCAGGAGGAACACCGGUGGCGAAGGCGGCUUGCUGGGCCAGUUCUGACGCUGAGGAGCGAAAGCGUGGGGAGCGAACAGG